CAGUAGCCGCGGUAAUACGAAGGGGGCUAGCGUUGCUCGGAAUGACUGGGCGUAAAGGGCGCGUAGGCGGCGAUCAAAGUCAGGCGUGAAAUUCCUGGGCUCAACCUGGGGGCUGCGUUUGAUACUUGGUUGCUAGAGUGAGGAAGAGGGUCGUGGAAUUCCCAGUGUAGAGGUGAAAUUCGUAGAUAUUGGGAAGAACACCGGUGGCGAAGGCGGCGACCUGGUCCUUGACUGACGCUGAGGCGCGAAAGCGUGGGGAGCAAACAGGAUUAGAUACCCCGGUAGUCCCUGUCUCUUAUAC
rnacentral:rRNA from 1 species